GAUAGGUCAGAGAUGGAAGUGUAGCGAUACAUGGAGUUGACUGAUACUAAUAGGUCGAGGACUUAAUCACA
rnacentral:rRNA from 1 species